AUGACUGCUGGGUCUCCAGCCUCAGGUCUGGAACUGCCUUCGCAGCCACACCUGGACAGUGGCCCAUUUAGCAGAAAAGCCAGGGGCGAUCUCCUCGGGGAGCUUUGUGCUUGUAUUAUAAACUGAAAUAGCCCCCCAGGUCUCUGGGAAGGAGAGGACCUCGCUGCAGAAACAUUUUUCCAGAAAGAGGAGCCGCGUUGAGUUGCCUGAAUAACGUGGGGUCCAGCGCCACCUAGUGCCCGCUGUGGUGCUUGGCGUGCGUCCUGAGCUCUGGAUGGGGCGUUUUGGAAAGCGGCUGUAACCAGGAGAGGGGCUACCAUUCUCUGCGUGCAGGGCUGUCCUCAUGCCCACGACAAGGGUCUGUGAUUUUGGUGUGAGAAGCUGAGGAGCUACAAUCCUAAUGCGUCACAGAUGCAGGUGUUGGGAUUCCUGCACCAUGAGGGGGUAACCAGCUAUUGCAGAGGCAGCUACAGUAUCCAGGAGGUUCUGGAGGAGAUGAACACCCUUCUAGCUCAGAGGACACUUCCUGCUCUGGACCAGUGUCUGUGACCCCAAGGCUUGACUGGACCCUUGCGGCUGAUAAAGAUGGACGUUUGUGGCCAGCACAGGAGCAGAGUCCUCCACAGCAGCCCAGCAGAGCUAAUGCAUUCAAAGGGAGAGGAAUAAAAGCCUGAUGAGGAGCUGUUAGGGAGAGGAGUGGUGUGGCAUCCUCUCUCCCUGGUGGUGAAGCCAGUUUGAAAACCUCUUGAUUUCUCCUCAGGCUCCAUUUCUAAUUUAAGGUGUCCCCACCCAGCUUGGCAAACUCUGUGCCUCUCCAGGAGAGAGGAAAUAGCUUCCUAAGAUGGGCGCAGGAAGAACAAAGGCCUCAUUAGGAUCAAUCACUUAUUCUGAGCCUACAUUCCCAAGAAUCUCUAUCGAUGAUCUCGGGUACAAAUGAAGUGGUAAUUAAGGGAAUAAUGCAAAUGAUGUUCAGCUUAGUAACUCCCCUUGUAAUUGAAAUUUACUAAAUUAAGUCUGAGAUUUUUGAAACUAGGUCUUUAAAAAAAAAAUCCCCGAUUAUAAUCACCCCCUCUCCUCCUUCCCACCCACCCCUCCUUAAUGUAAUUAGUUUAAAAUAAGAUCUGUGGUAUGGAUGACGGUGCGCUGCCUACGGAUAUGUUGAAGUGGCGCUUGCUCUCUGAAAUGUUGGUCUCCUAUAAACAAUCCUGGGAAGCGAUUGAGGAGAGGGGGCUGGUAUUGGCCGGGCUGCUGUUGCGUUGUCAACCACAGGAUAAGGAAACUGGACACAGGGCUGGUGGCACUGGCGAUGCUGGACAGGGAGAGAAUUCUCAGCUUCUCUCUUCCGUUCCUUCCCUCCGCACCUUCAGAUCUGGUGCGAGCUGAGGACCCUGCAGAGGAAGGAGUGAAUGGUUGCUCUAUUGGGGUGGGAGAGGAAUUGGAAUCUUUCUGCAGUCCUGACCUGGUGCCAACAUGGGAGGCAGAGGGGUGAGGGGAGAUCGGAAACCCAUCUCUAUUUUCUUAGAGGCCAGGGAGCUUAAGCUCAAACUGAAAUAGCCCUGGGACUCCUCUGAGUCCUGUCCUCUGCCACCUGAUGUGACCAUCAUUGGCCUUAACAUUUCUCUUGACCUGCCCCAGUGGAGAGCCAAGCACACCAGUCUCAGCCUGCCCAGUGGAACCCCAGAGGAGCCCUGUGGCUGGAGGUGAGGACCUAGAAGGUGCUCCAGCCUCCCCAUCCUCAUCCCCAGUUUGGCCCUCAUCCAAACCAGAAAGAAGGCUGAAAGUUGUCCUGAGGACCUCUGACAUUCCAGAAGAGCAACAUUGGCCUGUUUCAUUUACGUCUGAUGAAAAGACCUGUCUGUCUUUGAAAUCACGCUGCAAUUUCCUCGAGCAACUGGCAGAAUGGCUGUGUGAGAACAGGAGAGAACCUCCCAGGGCUGGCUUCCUCAUUCUCUGCCCCUCCGCUCGCCCCACCCUCCUGGCCCACAGCUUCUGGAAACUGUUAAGUAAACACAGAAACAGCUGGAGCUAGUUGACCCUCACACAGCAGUCAGAGGCUGCGAGGUCCAUCCUAGAACUCCGCAAAACAGCAGCUCUCUGGUGGGUAGCACGGACCUAAAAGAAAAUGUUUUCUCCCACUGACCCCCACCCUUUUAUUUUUUUAU